rnacentral:rRNA from 1 species
AUUGAACGCUGGCGGCAGGCCUAACACAUGCAAGUCGAGCGGAUGAAGGGAGCUUGCUCCUGGAUUCAGCGGCGGACGGGUGAGUAAUGCCUAGGAAUCUGCCUGGUAGUGGGGGAUAACGUCCGGAAACGGGCGCUAAUACCGCAUACGUCCUGAGGGAGCAAGUGGGGGAUCUUCGGACCUCACGCUAUCAGAUGAGCCUAGGUCGGAUUAGCUAGUUGGUGGGGUAAAGGCCUACCAAGGCGACGAUCCGUAACUGGUCUGAGAGGAUGAUCAGGCACACUAGAACUGAGACACGGUCCAGACGCCGACGGGAGGCAGCAGUGGGGAAGAUUGGACAAUGGGCGAAAGCCUGAUCCAGCCAUGCCGAGUGUGUGAAGAAGGUCUUCGGAUUGUAAAGCACUUUAAGUGGGGAGGAAGGGCAGUAAGUUAAUACCUUGCUGUUGUGACGUUACCAACAGAAUAAGCACCGGCUAACUUCGUG